AGCGAACGCUGGCGGCAGGCUUAACACAUGCGAGUCGAGCGGGCACUUUCGGGUGUCAGCGGCGGACGGGUGAGUAACGCGUGGGAACGUGCCCUCUGGUUCGGAAUAACUCAGGGAAACUUGAGCUAAUACCGGAUACGCCCUUUUGGGGAAAGGCUUGCUGCCGGAGGAUCGGCCCGCGUCUGAUUAGCUAGUUGGUGAGGUAACGGCUCACCAAGGCGACGAUCAGUAGCUGGUCUGAGAGGAUGAUCAGCCACACUGGGACUGAGACACGGCCCAGACUCCUACGGGAGGCAGCAGUGGGGAAUAUUGGACAAUGGGCGCAAGCCUGAUCCAGCCAUGCCGCGUGAGUGAUGAAGGCCUUAGGGUUGUAAAGCUCUUUUAUCCGGGACGAUGAUGACGGUACCGGAGGAAUAAGCCCCGGCUAACUUCGUG
rnacentral:rRNA from 1 species